rnacentral:rRNA from 1 species
UACGUAGGGUGCGAGCGUUAAUCGGAAUUACUGGGCGUAAAGUGUGCGCAGGCGGCCGAGCAAGUCGAGUGUGAAAGCCCCGAGCUUAACUUGGGAACUGCGCUCGAAACUACUUGGUUAGAGUGUGGCAGAGGGAGGUGGAAUUCCACGUGUAGCGGUGAAAUGCGUAGAGAUGUGGAGGAACACCGAUGGCGAAGGCAGCCUCCUGGGCCAACACUGACGCUCAUGCACGAAAGCGUGGGGAGCAAACAGG